rnacentral:lncRNA from 1 species
AUGGUGAUCAGAGAAUUUACUGAUCACACUUCAUCAGGGCUCAUUGACCAGUGCAACUCCCUGAUUGUCUGUUCCACAGGGGCAUGGGGAAGCAACUGUCUGUUAAUCCACAAGCAAUGGAAGCAUUAUUGCCUGAAGAAAAUGACUAAAAUGAUAGCCAAGAAUACCAAUGUCCAGGAAAGAGUCCUGGGAAAUAGGAUUUACAUAUACAUGUGGACAUGAGCACAACCCACAGGAUCACUUGCACAGUCACUUUCACCUGAGCUGACAGGUCUCUUACACUGUACCACCCAGUCCAUGUCUGCAGCCUUCGGGAGCAUGACAUCCCUUCGGCUGGAGACUGCCUGGCCUGCUCUUCUCCUUCUCAGGUACCCCGUGUAUCUAAUAGGUUUACCUACCCAGAUGUGUUCCUGAUGAUGAUGCUGGUUUCACUUGCAAAUUCCCACAUUAUUCCUACCCCUCUGGUUUGGGUGUUUUAAUUUUACUGGAUAAUGAUCGUGGUGAUUUUAAACAUUUCCUGUUGCUUGUUAAACUGCCUGCCCGAUUCAGCUCCAAAUAACAGCUUUUGCAUGCAAGUGAAAAUUUAGCUCCUAGUAUUUAACAACUACUAUAAUUUUAAAAUCUACUUUCAAUUAAGAAAACCUUGUAAUUCUAAAAAGUGGUUGUGUUCCAAAGAAGUGCUGAAAUGUCAACUGAAUACAAGUCCACUUUAUGUCUGGCAGGAACUGUUCAGUUUUCCUGUGGCUUAGCAUUGAAAAGCUCCCUCCAAAGUGCUGCUGACAGGCUUGGUCUAGAGUGGUGUUUAACAUUUGUCUUUGUACAUCUCCCCAUGGUGUCAGAACAAUCUUCAGCAAUCACAAGAGGUGAAAAGAGCUAGAAUAAAAUAUUUGUUAAAUCUAAAUAUACACAAUUGACGUUUUUCAAGAAAAUGUGCAUAAGGAAUGUAUUAUUGAUUUUAACAAUGAAGAUCACUUAUGAUUCUGGAAACAAGGUAGCUUUUGAGAAUAUGACAAUCAUCUCCUUUAUGUUGACAAAACUCUAUAUAGAUGGAUUAGUUUUACAAAGAAAAGAAUAAUCUUUACACACCACACCUUUUUGACACUUAGUCUAGUAGCACUCUGUCACUGAAGAAUCAAGUUCAAGUUCAAUGGAAAAUUUCCUUUAUAUUUUAAAAUUUAAUUUAUGUUGAAAUUAAUGCAGGUAGUUGACAUAGAAGUGAGUUAAAUAAUUUACAUGGAGUACUUGGAGAUCCUACUUGGUACAUAAAAGACUUGAAAUCUCUCAGCUGAUCAUUUACUGGGCAGUUGCUGACUGUGUUUAUGGGCAUAAGAGAAAUCAGAAUUUCUUUAAAAAGAAAAGUUUCCUUAAAAAAAUCUAAAAUCAGAGGUAUCAUAUAAUCCAGCAAUUCCAUUGCUAGGUAGAGAACCAAAAGAAAGGAAAUCAGUAUAUUGAAGAGAUAUCUGCACUCCAUGUCUGUUGAAUCACUGCUCACAUAGCUAAGAUUUGGAAGCAACUUGUGUCCAUCAGCAGAUGAAUGGGUAAAGAAAACGUGGUACUUAUACACAAUGGGGUACUAUUCAGUCAUAAAAAGAAUGAGAUCCUAUCAUUUGGAAAACCGUGGACACAACUGGAGAUCAUUAUGUUAAGUGAAAUAAGCCAGACACAGAAAGACAAACAUCACAUGUUCUCAUUGACUUGUGGGAUCUAAAACUCAAAACAAUCAAAAUCUUGGUCAUAGAGAGUAGAAGUAUGGUUAUCAGAGUCUGGGAAAGGCAGUGCAGUCGGGAGUAGGGGUGGGGUAUGCAGGGGAGAUUGGGAUGAUUUAUGGACACACGAAAAAAUGGACCGAAAGAAUGAAAAAGACCUACUAUUUAAUAGCACAACAGAAUGAUGGUCAAUAACAACUGUACAUUUUAAAACAACUAAAUGAGUGAAACUGGACUGUAAUACAAAGGAUAAAUAGUUGAGGAGAUGGAUACCCCAUUUUCUAUGAUGUGAUCAUUACACAUUGCAUGCCUGUAUUAAAACAUCUUAUGUACCCAAUGAAUAUAUAUACCUGCUACAUGCUCACAAAAAUAAAAAUAAACAAAACAAAGCAAAAACAGUACAAUCUUUAAUAGUAUAACGUACAAAAGGUCAGGCCAUUUCUAUGCUAAAAUGAAAGAAAGAGCAAAUUUGUGGUAAAUUGUAUAGCUUUUGCUCCCCUGGCAAUGUUUAUUGUAUAAUUGGGUCUUUCUUCUAUGCAUUUUUAAAGUAAGCAUCAUUAAAAACAUUUAAUCAAAACAUGUUUUUAUUUAUUUGUAAGAAAUUAUAUUUCAACAGAUGUAGGUUAAAGAUGUGCUAGUUUGGUUUUAUUUUGUUAUUUUAUCUUCUUAAUUUUCCUUUCAGAUCAUCACUCAGCCUUGCUGAAUUGUUUUGAUUAGAGAGAGAGGUCUUUGAGAUGGUUUGCAGUGAGUGCUUCAUGGUUUGUGCAGGCAGGCAGGCAGUAUUCUUUUUGUCUUUUUAUCCGGCCAAGGACAUCUACAUGUUAUAUCAAUAGGUGCACAAAAAUUUGUAGAUGGGGGUGGAACACAAGUUUCAUUCUCUCCAUAGACACAGUACUAAAAAUAUCAACUUGAACACAUUUCUAUUUGAGAAGCCUCAAGGUUUGUCCUUUCCCUGGGUUGUGCAUGUUCUUCCUUUUAAUACGCUUUUUUAAAAAAAUGCCGGAGGAAAUUUAAGCAGUGUUUAUUAAAGCAGAAAUGUAUUGAUGACAUGUGUUGGAGGUUUUAUUUCAAUCCCUCGAGUUCUGCAAUGAACAGAUCUGUUUUACACUCAGCCCAGGCAGACUAAUUUACCCACUGGCCCUUCUGUCGAAUACCUGGUGAUUUUAUUUUUCAUCAGUGAUAUGGUUCUGUUGCCCCCAUUAAAAGAUACAUGUUUAAUUAAAACUUUUAAAGAAAAUGUGAGAAAAUCUUAUUUAAAGAAGUUUAUCACACAUUAUAAAGAACUUUUUGAGAUAGAAAAAAUUUUAAGAGGAAAAAAAAGCCUUAAUUUUUUAACUGUUUGUAGUGAUGUUCAAUGACAUUGCUUUGAUAUAGAGAGUGUGCUAAGGGCUGUUACCUGACUUUCUGAGAUCAACCCAUUUUAAUGUACUUGUCCAAUAAUUAACUCAAUACUAGGCAAAAGUGGUCGUCCAAAUUCCAACAUAAAGUUCUAAUACGAAGCCUGGUAUGGGGCAUUCAAGCUCAUUGCAGCAAACAGGUUUCUGAGUGUGGCUUUUUCUUUCAUGCAGAGAAGGGACUGAUAAAUUUCCCAAACUGUGAAAAGAAAAUUAUUUUCUGUUUUUUCUUUCGUUCUUCUUCAUUUUUUUUUUUUUUUUUUUUUUUGGUUUCUGAAACUGAUUACUCUGUUGUCUUCAUUAUUCACAGAUCCGCUUGCCAUUUUCCGUAACAAAGGCAGGGGCUAAACUUAUCUUAGCUGUUGCCCACAAUUUAUGAAGAGAUAAUCCGGUUCAUAGGAAAUGAGGUACUUCAAGUAUUCGAGGAAUGGCAAGUAUUUCUUUGUCAGCAUGGAUUCAGCUUCAAAUACGUCUCCUACUGAUCUCUGGACUACUGCUCUAUGCCACAUUGAUCCAUGCAGGAAUAAUUGUAAAGAGUUCCCAGAAUUUCUUUUACUAUCAGAAAAAAAAACACCCUGGAAUCAUUUCGCCCGUGGUUUAUAGUGAUAAAAGCUGUCUGAGCAUUUUGAGCUUGUAGCUGUGGAUAAGGUGUGUAAUUUGUUUGGUGCUAAGUUCUGUGACAUGAAAAGUAAAUUACAAUUGGGAAGGGUAGUGGGAAGAGGGAUACUAUUAUUUAAAAAAAAAAAGGAAGAAGAAGAAAAGAAAAACCAUUUUUUCAGCAGCAAGGAUUUUUAAGAUUUAAUUUCCCCCACCACUGAAUUUGCUGGCUUGAGCCUACUCAUCAGCUUCAUUGCCACCCAUAAAAGCACAUGGAUUUUAAGCUGAUGAAAAAGGUGAACAUGGGUUAUACCUUUUCCUCUGCCAAUGCUAUGAGAAUAUCUUGGUUCACUAGAAGAAUUGCUGACAGAUAAAAAUGAAUAGAAUAUCAUUUGUAUAUUUUGUAUUCAUAUUGGAUAGCAAAUGCCUGUAAAAUAUUCCUAAAAUUGUGCAUAACCUUUGACUCAGAUAAAUCAC